CUUGGUGAUGAUGGCGGAGGGGACACACCCGUACCCAUCCCGAACACGAAGGUUAAGCCCUCCAGCGCCGAUGGUACUUGGACCGCAGGGUCC
rnacentral:rRNA from 1 species